UCCAACUCUCUAUCCCUACUACCGAAACGCAACCCAUCCUACCGGGCUCCAUCACACACCUCUUCGUAUCUUCAACCACUUCCUGGCUCCUGAGUAUCAAAUACACUCUCGUCUCUUGCAUCCUAAAAUAAGCCCCCAAGCACGGAUUUCUUUCUCAGGAGAGCGAGAGAACUUAUGUAGCCAUAUUUACUCCGCGCUCGUGCCUAUUCCCUCCUUAUUCUGUUACUCAGGAGUGUUAUCUCCUUUUUCUGAAAAGGAUGCUGUGGGUCAAAGAAGUUAGGGCGUGGGUGCCCCUAGCAUUUGCAGAGCCGAGGGCAAAAGAAGAAACGGAAAUUGAUAAAUCGUGUGUGUUAAUAUCUAAAAGCUAUCUGUCAAAUCACAAUACUAAAGUGUUUAGCUUCCUUUUCACAAACACACAUUCAUAAAGAUGCAGAAAUGGCGAGAUAGACAAGCAGGUGAAGGCUCUUAAUGAACAAGCUUGAUAAUCUGAGUUGGAUACCCAGAACCCGCACGGAAAAGUCAGAUGCAGAGCCUCGCGUCUGUAAUCCCAGCACUUCUGUGGCAAAAAUGGGAGGAGGAAAUGAGAAUCAUGAGGGCCAUGUAGCAGAGGGACAGAAACAAGACGGACCCACAUGGAAUGAGAGAACCCACUCCUGAAAGUUGUCCUCUGAUCUCAACAAGCAUGCGGCCACAUAUGUGUGUCUUCUGCUGCGUGCACGCGCACGCACACGCACGCACACACACGGAGCUAAGGAUGCAGGCAUGGACUACCAUACCCAGCCCUGAACUGGUCCCUGCGAGGAGACAAGUACCCAACCACUAAGGUGUGCCUCCCAUAGUUACACUUAAAGCAGGUAACUUUAAAAAUACAUAUGAUUGAAUCUUU